rnacentral:rRNA from 1 species
UACAGAGGUGGCAAGCGUUGUUCGGAAUUACUGGGCGUAAAGGGCGCGUAGGCGGUCCGAUAAGUCCCGUGUGAAAUCCCUCGGCUUAACCGGGGAACGGCCUCUGAUACUGGCUGGCUGGAGUUCGGGAGAGGGAUGCGGAAUUCCAGGUGUAGCGGUGAAAUGCGUAGAUAUCUGGAGGAACACCGGUGGCGAAGGCGGCAUCCUGGACCGACACUGACGCUGAGGAGCGAAAGCCAGGGGAGCAAACGGG